UAGGCAUGCAAGAAACUGUCCCUCUCAGAGAUAACAGAGUCAGAGUAGCUAUAGGCAAGAUUUUGUGGGCAUCACACUCGAUUGAAUAAUGAUUGAAGAAUAUUGUAGAUGGAAAUAUUCGUGUGGAAAUUUAUAUACAUUAACAUUUAUUAGUCUGAUAAUUUAUUAGUCAAUAUCGGUAUUGUCUCUUUAGUUGAGCAUUGAAUUGUUCUUGGUGUUCAUUUUGUUCAGGUCUAAAAUUAAACGGGCUAGCAAAUUUGCCAUUUUACUGGUUCAGUUGUGUGUAUAAUAUAAUUUUAUUUUUUAUUGAUAGUAAAUAAGUAAGUCUACAUAUUCCAAAGGAAGUCCAUGCAUGGCUACAAAUGUUGUUAUAACACUGAGAACCUAUGUCGUUUACUAAGCAGCUGGACUUCAUACUUGCAGGCCAUUGGCAUACACAUAUAGGGAAAGCUUACCAGAUCAUGGUUUGGGAAUAGGGUACAUUACAGUUUACUGUUACAAGUCGGUACUGCAAUGGCGAGUUCUUCCAUUCUUUUAUAGUGUUUUGAUAGCAUAUGUAUUCAGUGAUUACUCGGAUACAGUGAACUAAAUCACGAAGCUCAAUCACUUUCAAGGGCUAUAUGAGAAAUUGAUCGAUCACUUGUUAAAGUUACUGUAUAUAUCCCUGUCAACUGUUGGUAUCAUAACAUCUUGAUAUUUUAUGUCGACAACCAAGUCGUUCAAUCUUGCAUUUUAUAGAAUUAUACAGUCCAGACGAGCAUGAUAUUUCGGCCAGGCCAUCAUCAAGAUUUAUACUUCAAUGAUAAAGCGGUUAAUAGAUUUCUAUGUCCAGCCUUGUUUUCCAUCGCUUUGAAAAGGUUAACUUAAAGAUGUGUUGGUAAGGAGAAACCAAAACGAUAACAAAACCAAAUAUUUUCGGCAACAAAUCGCUCGAACUGACCAAAUGACCAAUUUCAUACAAGUGAUACAACCUUCAGCGACCGAUAUUUUCAUAUUAAUUCACCUAUAAUUCACCACAACCUGUUCAUUUUGCAACAAAGUCUAAUCGAACGCGAUUCCAUUGUUGUAAAACCAUCAAAAAAGUAAAAAAACCCAUUGAUUUCCAUUUUCGUAAUACUAGCUUACUAACUAUAGGUUUUUUGCCCGGUUGAGCCGCCAUCUUGGAUUUAUCAUGUAAUUUAACCCAUUGUGUAAACCCAUUGUGUAAACCAAUGUGUAAACCACGCGCGGUGAUUACGCAAACAAGAUGGCCGACAAAAUAUACUAAGGUCAAGGAGUAAUGAAUCAUUAAGCUUUUAAACUUGAAAAACAUCGGGAUUUUUUGA